rnacentral:lncRNA from 1 species
CUGUGAUCAAUUUUUCUGAAGCACAGCCCUUCUGUUACAGGACCUGGGUGAUGGAACACUGUCAUGCAUGUUGUGUUACGGCUGGUCGUUCUUUGUGUUUCUGUGUGAUCUGAAUCAGGAUGAAUGAAAUCGAGUGAAGGAGCACUGACUUUAGGUGCGCAUGCUCCCACCGAACGCUCUGCUCAGCCCUGAGUCUUGCUAGAUUGUCCUCCUGCCUCAGCAUCCAGGGGAGCUGGACGUACGUCAUAGGAGACUACCACUUCACCCUGCUGACAUGCUAACUGUACCUGGCUUUUAUUUAAAAGCUGGAGCAUCAUCCGGUGAGUUAGAACAGACUGUAGAGCUCACCUGUGGAGCUUUCAGAGGUGGGAAGCAUGGAAAUCCAGUGUGGGCAGAGCUGGAGUUAAUGAUGAAUGCCCGUUCUUCACAUGAAGCAAGCCACAAACCUCCACAUGAGCUCUGGGCAGAUCAGGCUGUGACAGAGACGCUUUCUGCCAAGAAAACAUAGGCCUACGUUUCCAAAUCUUGGUAUUCUGGUUUUGUGACACCAACUGGUUAUUCGACCUCAGUCAAGUUUCUUGCUGUCCUAAGCCUCAGUCGCUGGUACACUCAUCACUGUGAUGCCCAGGGAAGAUGACUUGGAAACCCAAGGACUUCCAUAAGAUCGUCCAACUUCUGACAAAACGGCUUUUUGUGAGGACAGGUA